rnacentral:tRNA from 1 species
GCUUGUAACUCAGUGGAUUAAGAGUACGUGCUUCCGAAGCACGCAGGCGUGGGUUCAAUUCCCGCCAAGCUUA